GAGGAUAGAAUAGAGCCGCAGGACAAUGAGACUGAGGAGACUGAGGAUAGAAUAGGGCCGAAUGACAAUGAGACUGAGGAGACUGAGAAGAGAAUAGGGCCUCAGGACAAUGAGACUGAGGAGACUGAGGAUAGAAUAGGGCCGCAGCACAAUGAGACUGAGGAUAGAAUAGGGCCGAAUGACAAUGAGACUGAGGAGACUGAGGAUAGAAUAGGGCCGCAGGACAAUGAGACUGAGGAGACAGAGGUUAGAAUAGGGACGCAGGACAAUGAGACUGAGGAGACAGAGGAUAGAAUAGGGACGCAGGACAAUGAGACUGAGGUGACUGAGGAUAGAAUAGGGACGCAGGACAAUGAGACUGAGGAGACAGAGGAUAGAAUAGGGACGCAGGACAAUGAGACUGAGGAGACAGAGUUUAGAAUAGGGCCGAAUGACAAUGAGACUGAGGAGACAGAGGAUAGAAUAGGGACGCAGGACAAUGAGACUGAGGAGACAGAGUUUAGAAUAGGGCCGAAUGACAAUGAGACUGAGGAUAGAAUAGGGCCGAAUGACAAUGAGACUGAGGAGACAGAGGAUAGAAUAGGGACGCAGGACAAUGAGACUGAGGAGACAGAGUUUAGAAUAGGGCCGCAGGACAAUGAGACUGAGGAGACUGAGGAUAGAAUAGGGCCGCAGGACAAUGAGACUGAGGAGACAGAGGUUAGAAUAGGGACGCAGGACAAUGAGACUGAGGAGACAGAGGAUAGAAUAGGGACGCAGGACAAUGAGACUGAGGAGACAGAGUUUAG
ensembl:lncRNA